UACGUAGGGUGCGAGCGUUAAUCGGAAUUACUGGGCGUAAAGUGUGCGCAGGCGGCCGCGCAAGUCGAGUGUGAAAGCCCCGAGCUUAACUUGGGAAUUGCGCUCGAAACUACGUGGCUGGAGUGUGGCAGAGGAAGGUGGAAUUCCAGGUGUAGCGGUGAAAUGCGCAGAUAUCAGGAGGAACACCGGUGGCGAAGGCGGAUCUCUGGGCCAUUACUGACGCUGAGGAGCGAAAGCGUGGGGAGCGAACAGG
rnacentral:rRNA from 1 species